rfam:Triticum aestivum genome assembly, contig: Triticum_aestivum_CS42_TGACv1_scaffold_146430_2BS
UUACUAUUCCCUCCGUCCCAAAAUUCUUGUCUUACAUUUGUUUAGAUACGGAUGUAUCUAACACUAAAAUGUAACUAGAAUACAUCCGUAUUUAGACAAAUUUAAGACAAGAAUUUUGGGACGGAGGGAGUACUAU